AUGGAAUGCACCUACUGUAGACUAUGGCAACCAAACACGCCCCAAACGUGUUCCAUCGGUGGGAAGGUAGCUGACUCACUGAAGACGUGGUCAGUCUUCACUGCCGCUCCGAAGCCUGAACCCUCUCUUCCCCGGCGGCGCGCGGCACCCUCCCGGCGAGGCGAGUCGCCGGAGCCCGCUCCCCCUCCUCCUCCCCCGGCUCCGUCUGGAUGGCUCCCCAGGUUGUUUAGACCGGCGGCCUGCGGCGGCGGCGGGGCGAGGCUGAGCGCCGGAUCCAGCAUGGAGAGAGCGGGGCUCCUCGCGCCGUUCCCCCCGAGGGCGCGGGCCACGGCCAGGGUCUGCAUGGUCUCGAGCUUCGCCACGGAGUUGCUCGAGAUAAGAUCCAGGGAGCCGUCCCCGUCGCUUCACGUUCUGGUCGUCCCUGGCAAUCCAGGUAUUGUUGGAUUCUACAAGGACUUUGUCGAAGCCCUCUACGAAAACCUCGGCGGGCAGGCAUCUGUUACGGCGAUAGGGCACAUUUCACAUGGGCAGAAGGAUUACGAGCACGGACGAUUGUUUUCAUUACACGAACAGAUUGAGCACAAGAUUGAUUUUCUUGAGCAAGAGCUUCUACAUACCGAACAGUCCAUAAUUGUGGUGGGUCAUUCUAUUGGCGCGUACAUAGGUCUGGAAAUAUGCAAAAGGUUCCAGAAGAAGGUAAAAUUUUUUUUAGGGCUUUAUCCAUUUUUGACAUUGAACAAGAAUGCUAUGAAGCAAUCAGCAAUUGGAUAUGUUGCAAGGUCAUCUCUCCUUAGUAAAGGCGUUAGUUUGUUAGCGUCUUUCAUCGGCUCACUCCAGGCUUCAGUUACGAGGAGCAUUGUGAAAAGGUUCCUUGGAUCUUCUUGGUCUGCAACAGCCAUUGAUGCUGGAUGUAGCCAUCUCUUGCAGUACCAUACGAUGCGCAAUGUGCUUUUCAUGGCAAAGACAGAGUUCCAAAAGCUUAAUGAAGAGCCGGACUGGAAUUUCAUCAGAGCAAAACAGGCUCAAAUUGCUUUUCUGUUCGGUGUGGAUGAUCACUGGGGUCCACUGACUCACUUGGAAGAGAUCUCAAAGCAUGCUCCGAGGGUUGCCUUGUCGAUCGAGAAAGAAGGUCACACACACGGCUACUGCUGCACAGAGGCUGGAUCUUUCUGGGUUGCUGACUACGCCGCGAACUUGAUUAAAAACCAAAUGCUCGUCGGAGAUAGCUGA
rnacentral:rRNA from 1 species